rnacentral:piRNA from 1 species
UAGAAAUGGAGGUGCAGCCAGA